rnacentral:rRNA from 1 species
AUUGAACGCUGGCGGCAGGCUUAACACAUGCAAGUCGAGCGGAGACUUCGGUCUUAGCGGCGAACGGGUGAGGAAUGCCUGGGAAUCUGCCUGUUAGUGGGGGAUAACGUUCCGAAAGGAGCGCUAAUACCGCAUACGUCCUACGGGAGAAAGCAGGGGGACCUUCGGGCCUUGCGCUAACAGAUGAGCCCAGGUCGGAUUAGCUAGUUGGUGGGGUAAAGGCUCACCAAGGCGACGAUCCGUAGCUGGUCUGAGAGGAUGAUCAGCCACACUGGAACUGAGACACGGUCCAGACUCCUACGGGAGGCAGCAGUGGGGAAUAUUGGACAAUGGGCGAAAGCCUGAUCCAGCCAUGCCGCGUGUGUGAAGAAGGCCUUCGGUUGUAAAGUCACUUAAGUCGGGGAGGGAAGGUAACUU